rnacentral:rRNA from 1 species
AUUGAACGCUGGCGGCAUGCUUUACACAUGCAAGUCGAACGGCAGCGCGGGCUUCGGCCUGGCGGCGAGUGGCGAACGGGUGAGUAAUGCAUCGGAACGUGCCCAGUAGUGGGGGAUAGCCCGGCGAAAGCCGGAUUAAUACCGCAUACGACCUGAGGGUGAAAGCGGGGGACCGAAAGGCCUCGCGCUAUUGGAGCGGCCGAUGUCGGAUUAGCUAGUUGGUGGGGUAAAGGCUUACCAAGGCGACGAUCCGUAGCUGGUCUGAGAGGACGACCAGCCACACUGGGACUGAGACACGGCCCAGACUCCGACGGGAGGCAGCAGUGGGGAAUUAUGGACAAUGGGGGCAACCCUGAUCCAGCCAUGCCGCGUGCGGGAAGAAGGCCUUCGGGUGGUAAACCGCUUUUGUUCGGGAAGAAAUCCUCUGGGCUAAUACCCCGGGGGGAUGACGGUACCGGAAGAAUAAGCACCGGCUAACUACGG